UGAGAACCAAAAUUACUGGGUUCUUUCUCCUUGAACUCAUUAUCAAAGCUUCACGAGCUUCAGUGGAAUUCAGCAGAACUCCACAGGGCAUGAUGAGGGCCCUUCAGCAGCUCCUGCCUUAGUCCACAAAGCCUGCAUGGUUGUUCCAGUAUCAGGAGGGUGGCAGAACCUGGUAGGGAGGCUGUUGCAUCUGGAAACUCCCAUGUUUAUAUGGGAUUCUCGGACAUGGCCUGAGCAUUACAAAUGCAGCUGUUUCAAGAGUAAGGAAUUUUCCUGAUCUGCACUCUUAAGAAGCUUUAGAAGUCUUUCUGUUGUAACACUGGGGAACUCCAGAUUACAGAAGAGCAGGUAAUAAAUUAUUAUUUGUAUGGAUUUCAGCAGUUUUGCUUUCAGAGUUUGCUGAGAAUCAGCAUAAAAUGGAAAUAUGCCUCUCCCCCAAAUAAACAGCUAAAUUAGUCUAUAAUACAGUACUGUAGAUUUUUUAAUGGCAUUAACAGUGAAUGAUUAUUUAUUUUCUGUAAGACCAUCUCAUGGAAUUGAUUAAUCUAGGCCCUUGCUUCUGCUCAUUGAAGCAGCCUUCAUUUAUAAUCAGAAAUACA